rnacentral:miRNA from 1 species
GCCCCACCGGAGCUGGGCUGGGCUGGGCUGGGUAAGUUCAGAGCCUCUCACCUGAGAGCUGACUGGCCAUCCUU